rnacentral:lncRNA from 1 species
UUACUCAUUCAGAGGGAGAGUCUCUGUGAUGACGCUCGGCUCAAACAGCGUAUCCCCCGGUGAUCUACUCAAUCUCUGUCCUCCCAUUGGCUGUAUCAGGUGUCAAUCAUAGAAAACAUGAACCCCCUAAUAACUUUUAAAAAUGGAGCUGUACAGAAAAAAGAGGACUUGAGCACAAACCAGUCUGACAGUAACUACAUGUCAACAUCACAACCAGGGGGGAGAAACAUUUAUAUUCUGUGUCAUUCAUUUAUAAAGUUUGUCCACAGCUCCAUAAGGAGGCGGGGUUUAGGACCUAUACUGCA